rnacentral:lncRNA from 1 species
UUUUUGUCACAUCAAGGUUUAUACUAAUAUAAACACUCACUUAACCUUAAAUUAAACACCAUUUAAGUUAAUCAAACACCUUAAUAUAAUCUACACUUAAAUAAAUUAAACUAACCACCUAAUAACACUUAAUAUAAACUAAGCACCCAUAAAGCAUCAUUAACCGUCUAAGCGAGGUUUAGUGAGUUAAACUCACCGGAUUAGCGAGCCGAGCGAACCAAAACGA